AGGAUUGCCAACCACCAGACCAGGCUACCCAGAGCCACAUCCAGCCUGGCCUUGAAUACAUCCAAGGAUGGAGCAUCACCACCCUCUGGAGUCCAUGCUGGAAGGAGAAAGUGGCAGCAGAGGAUAAUGGUGCAGUCAGUACUGGCACAGUGUCACGCCUCGAGCUGAAGAGGGGAAAAUGGGAAAUAAUUUUGAUGUAGUAAUAAAUAUCUGUGGCAUGAAAACCUCAGAAAGUAUUUUCAACUGGAGCAGAUGUGCUUGGGACAGAUGGCUAAUGGUCAGCAGAGCCUUUGGGCUCAAGAGGAAAGUUGAUUCUAUCCUAAUUUUUUUUUUCCGGGCAAAGGAAAACAUGACAGUGUUUCACCAUUAGCAGUUAUGGAAACUGCAGCUACGGGGGGGCAGUUAGAUCCACAUAAAUGGA
rnacentral:lncRNA from 1 species